GCAAACUUGGUCAUUUAGAGGAAGUAAAAGUCGUAACAAGGUCUCCGUUGGUGAACCAGCGGAGGGAUCAUUAUAGAGUUAUCAAACUCCUAAACCCAUGUGAACUUACCUUUUGUUGCCUCGGCUGACCUUUCCCAAGGUUGGCCGAUGGCCCAAGAUUUUAACUCUUGAUAUUUCAGUCAUCUGAGUUUCUAUAUACAAAUAAGUCAAAACUUUUAACAACGGAUCUCUUGGUUCUGGCAUCGAUGAAGAACGCAGC
rnacentral:misc_RNA from 1 species